rnacentral:rRNA from 1 species
GAAAAGCAGGGGAUCGUAAGACCUUGCGCUUUUGGAGCGGCCGAUGUCUGAUUAGCUAGUUGGUGGGGUAAAGGCCUACCAAGGCUUCGAUCAGUAGUUGGUCUGAGAGGACGACCAGCCACACUGGGACUGAGACACGGCCCAGACUCCUACGGGAGGCAGCAGUGGGGAAUUUUGGACAAUGGGCGCAAGCCUGAUCCAGCCAUGCCGCGUGAGUGAAGAAGGCCUUCGGGUUGUAAAGCUCUUUCAGUCGGGAAGAAAAGGUUGCGGUUAAUAAUUGCAAUUCAUGACGGUACCGGCAGAAGAAGCACCGGCUAACUACGUGCCAGCAGCCGCGGUAAUACGUAGGGUGCGAGCGUUAAUCGGAAUUACUGGGCGUAAAGGGUGCGCAGGCGGUUUUGUAAGUCAGAUGUGAAUC